GUGUGUGUGGGGAGGUUAACAGUGUGUGAGAGUAUGGUAACACUACAAUGUGGGGGGUGACAGUGUGUGGGGGGCAUGACAAUGUGUGUGUGAGGGGGUGACAGUGUGUGUAAGGGAGAGUGGCAGUAUGUAUAAGGAAGGGUGACAGUGUGUGUGAGCGGGAUGAUACUGUGUGUGGGAGGGGGUGACAGUUUGUGUGUGAGGAGUGAU